rnacentral:rRNA from 1 species
GAGCGGUGACAGGUGUAGCAAUACGUGCUGACGAGCGGCGAACGGGUGAGUAAUGCUUCGGAAUCUGCCCAAUGGUGGGGGAUAACCAGCCGAAAGGUUGGCUAAUACCGCAUACGUCCUACGGGAGAAAGCGGGGGAUCGCAAGACCUCGCGCGGUUGGAUGGACCGAUGUUCGAUUAGCUAGUUGGUAGGGUAAUGGCCUACCAAGGCGACGAUCGAUAGCUGGUCUGAGAGGAUGAUCAGCCACACUGGGACUGAGACACGGCCCAGACUCCUACGGGAGGCAGCAGUGGGGAAUAUUGGACAAUGGGCGCAAGCCUGAUCCAGCAAUGCCGCGUGUGUGAAGAAGGCCUUCGGGUUGUAAAGCACUUUUAUACAGGAGCGAAAUACUACCGGCUAAUACCCGGUGGGGCUGACGGUACCUGAGGAAUAAGCACCGGCUAACUUCGUGCCAGCAGCCGCGGUAAU